GCGCCAUGGAUAAGCAGUGUGCAUUCACAAAUUCCGUUCAGGUACUUCUAGUGCACAUUUGCUAUAAUAUAUGUAAAAUGAACUAUAGCCUAGAGUUAUCUGGGAGUAAUUCCUAAUCGCAUCCUAUUAUUUUGUGUAAGUAAUAAAUACACUUGAUUGCGUUCAGUCGUUCAAACUAUCCCGCGCAUUCUAAUAAAUAAUUCGCGCGAGAUUCCUUUGUCAAUUUCGGAGAGUGUGAGGGAUAUUGUGAUCUUGCAAAGGUAAAUGAGAUUAGCUUAUAAUU